AAAUUGAAGAGUUUGAUCAUGGCUCAGAUUGAACGCUGGCGGCAGGCCUAACACAUGCAAGUCGAACGGUAACAGGAAGCAGCUUGCUGCUUUGCUGACGAGUGGCGGACGGGUGAGUAAUGUCUGGGAAACUGCCUGAUGGAGGGGGAUAACUACUGGAAACGGUAGCUAAUACCGCAUAACGUCGCAAGACCAAAGAGGGGGACCUUAGGGCCUCUUGCCAUCGGAUGUGCCCAGAUGGGAUUAGCUAGUAGGUGGGGUAACGGCUCACCUAGGCGACGAUCCCUAGCUGGUCUGAGAGGAUGACCAGCCACACUGGAACUGA
rnacentral:rRNA from 1 species